ensembl:snoRNA
UUGCAUGUGGAAAUGCCUCUCCUUGCUUUUGGAGCAGGAAUACAUCCAUAGCAUGCUACAUUGAAGAAGGAGUUCUCAGGGCUGCCAACCUUCCAGUAGAGGUUGAGUAGUAGUAUAUUUCUCCUACAUCA